AGUGAACGCUGGCGGUAGGCCUAACACAUGCAAGUCGAACGGCAGCACAGUAAGAGCUUGCUCUUACGGGUGGCGAGUGGCGGACGGGUGAGGAAUACAUCGGAAUCUACUUUUUCGUGGGUGAGAACGUAGGGGAACUUACGCUAAUACCGCAUACGACCUACGGGGGAAAGCAGGGGAUCUUCGGACCUUGCGCGAUUGAAUGAGCCGAUGUCGGAUUAGCUAGUUGGCGGGGUAAAGGCGCACCAAGGCGACGAUCCGUAGCUGGUCUGAGAGGAUGAUCAGCCACACUGGAGCUGAGACACGGUCCAGACUCCUACGGGAGGCAGCAGUGGGGAAUAUUGGACAAUGGGCGAAAGCCUGAUCCAGCCAUACCGCGUGGGUGAAGAAGGCCUUCGGGUUGUAAAGCCCUUUUGUUGGGAAAGAAAAGCAGCAGGUUAAUACCCCGCUGUUCUGACGGUACCCAAAGAAUAAGCACCGGCUAACUUCGUG
rnacentral:rRNA from 1 species